GACGAACGCUGGCGGCGUGCCUAAUACAUGCAAGUUGAGCGAUGAAGAUUGGUGCUUGCACCAAUUUGAAGAGCAGCGAACGGGUGAGUAACGCGUGGGGAAUCUGCCUUUGAGCGGGGGACAACAUUUGGAAACGAAUGCUAAUACCGCAUAACAACUUUAAACAUAAGUUUUAAGUUUGAAAGAUGCAAUUGCAUCACUCAAAGAUGAUCCCGCGUUGUAUUAGCUAGUUGGUGGGGUAAAGGCUCACCAAGGCGAUGAUACAUAGCCGACCUGAGAGGGGGAUCGGCCACAUUGGGACUGAGACACGGCCCAAACUCCUACGGGAGGCAGCAGUAGGGAAUCUUCGGCAAUGGACGAAAGUCUGACCGAGCAACGCCGCGUGAGUGAAGAAGGGUUUCGGAUCGUAAAACUCUGUUGGUAGAGAAGAACGUUGGUGAGAGUGGAAAGCUCAUCAAGUGACGGUAACUACCCAGAAAGGGACGGCUAACUACGUG
rnacentral:rRNA from 1 species